ACUACUCUUCAGCCAGGAUGCAGAUAGGAAUCUCCUUUGGAAGAUUUCCAGACUCUUCAGUUUCAGUCAACAACAACAACAAUGUCCCCGUAGAUUCCGUAUUCGACCUGGCCUACAUCAACAGCUGACCCUCUUUACUGGAACGCUGUAAAACAAGAAACAGUUCCUUUACA